rnacentral:rRNA from 1 species
CCUACGGGAGGCAGCAGUGAGGAAUAUUGGACAAUGGGCGCAAGCCUGAUCCAGCCAUGCCGCGUGCAGGAAGACGGUCCUAUGGAUUGUAAACUGCUUUUGUACGGGAAGAAACACUCCUACGUGUAGGAGCUUGACGGUACCGUAAGAAUAAGGAUCGGCUAACUCCGUGCCAGCAGCCGCGGUAAUACGGAGGAUCCAAGCGUUAUCCGGAAUCAUUGGGUUUAAAGGGUCCGUAGGCGGUUUAGUAAGUCAGUGGUGAAAGCCCAUCGCUCAACGGUGGAACGGCCAUUGAUACUGCUAGACUUGAAUUAUUAGGAAGUAACUAGAAUAUGUAGUGUAGCGGUGAAAUGCUUAGAGAUUACAUGGAAUACCAAUUGCGAAGGCAGGUUACUACUAAUGGAUUGACGCUGAUGGACGAAAGCGUGGGUAGCGAACAGGAUUAGAUACCCUGGUAGUCCACGCCGUAAACGAUGGAUACUAGCUGUUGGGGGCAACUUCAGUGGCUAAGCGAAAGUGAUAAGUAUCCACCUGGGGAGUACGUUCGCAAGAAUGAAACUCAAAGGAAUUGACGGCGUGAGACGUGCGAGACGACGACGAGGGAGAGG